UUCAGAACUCCCCUCACCCGGACGAUCGACGAUCACUUAAUACGAACUAAAGAAGGUUUUGAAAGCUACACCUGUAAAAAAAAUCAAAUUCUAUUUUUGUUUUUUCGCUCUGUACAUCGUAACCAAAGAGACUUGUUGGAUUAACCUUAUCAUAACUGUUUAGAGUCCAGUGAAUGCUGCUUCCUCCAGGGGCUUUUCAGACACACACAAAAAUAAUAAUUCAAACACGCCUUGCGUGCCUAUGUUUCAGGUACUCAGCCUCGUCCCUGGGGAGAAGAGCCGCCAUUUUGAAAAUCAUCGAGGAGAAUGCCCUGGGGACGAGUUAGACACUUUCUAGCACGUGGAAAUGAAGAGAAAUUUGAAUUUCGUUCCGUAGUUUCUGCUGGAAAUAAAUCGGUUAAACCAAAGAUCUUAGCUUCAAAAUAUCAUCUAUGUUGCCCAGAAUAUCUAUGUUCAUGUACUGUAAGCAUUAACCCGCUGAUUAACCAGAGUUUUACCACAAGUGGAACUUGACGAACUUUGUGGCUAUUAUCUGUCGUUGAAUGAAGAGUGUAUCGCUGGAAGCCUUCUCUGAAGAGCUAAGCUAAGCGGCUCAUUUUACAAUGUCAAGUUCUCACGAUAAGCAUGGACAGACAAACAGACAGACUGACAGGAGGUUAACUGUACUUGUUACUCAGAAGGUAAAUAUUGCAAGAUCAUGAUGACAUCAUUGGUCAAGCUGGAAUGCAUACCUUGAAAAUCAUGAUGGAUGAUAGAAAAUGGUGUUCUAAAAUCACAGGACCUUGUGCCCAAUUGCAUUCUACUGUCCGUUCUGUUGGAGUCCAACUGUGAUAGUAUUCCAAACUUAUGGUGGAUCUGACAGACCAGCAGCAAGAACUGCUGUGUACAUUGUGUCUCCCUCAACAAGUCAGGAGGCCUUGGGUACAAGAUCUUCCAUCAUCUGUGGAAGGCAGCGCAUGUGAAGAACUAUACACUGGCUUGGUUAUACAUGGACAGAUGGCAUGGGUCCACAGUCAGAACAUCUCUGGAGCUUGGAAAUCAAGAAAAAGGUAAGGGUUGAAUUUGAUAUUAAAGGAUAACUUCAUCUUCAAACAAAAGCCUUUUCAAUCAUUGUACAAUUGUUUUGUAAUGAAAAGUUGAAAAAUAUCUUCCACACAAAGUGGUCCAUCAAUGUCAUCAGCUAGCUCAUAGUUUACAAGGGCAUUUGCAGCAAAUUGGAAGCUGUAAAAACUGUUAUCUUUAAAUUGAAGUGAAAAGGCUGUCAUUUUCAAUUACAUAUCAAUAUGUGCAUGAUAUUUAUACGGGUUUCUAUGAUUGCAUGCUCAAAAAGAACGACUGGAUUCUGGACUGGACCAUCAACUAAUGUUUUUUCAAUUAUGUAACAAAGUUGCUAAUUUAAGACUAAGGUGGCUGGCAACAGAUUUCAGCACUUUGCAUCAUUUAUUCUUUGAGAGAUCAAUAUUACCACUCUUUAUCGAAAAAUUUUACAAUAUCUGUAUCACACAAUGCACAAUCAUUGGUGAUCACAAUUUGUGCUUAUCUUCAUGACGUAAAAAGUUACUGUAGGAAGAUGAACCUUUUAAAAAAAAACCACUUAGUUUUUAGUGCAGAGUGCACUAAAAUGGUUUGGGGGUUGAUGUCUGCUAAAGCCCUUUGGCAAUAAGGCACUAUUGCUUUACAGCAACAAUGUAUGAACUUUAAUGUUUGGUUAAUUAAUUAAUUUCAAUUGAUUAAUUAGGCUUGCAGGAUGAGGGGUAGGUUGGGGUAGCUACUUGUGACCACUACGUUAAAUGAGUGGUACAUGUACCUACACUACUUCUUUGAUCGCUUCAAAAAGCUUUAUAUUUGUUUCAGAAAACCCUUUGUUCUCCUUGUGGUACUUUUCUCUUUAGAACAAAACUACUACUUGCUCUAAACAUAUGUGCAGGUUAAUAGGCGUUAGUCUCUACUACAUACCAGGUGGAAGAUACAUUUCACACAAGUCACAUACUAACGUUGAGCACUUUUCCUUGUGGUACAUGUAGAACCCAGACAAGUCAUAUGGAAGUGUUCUAGUAUCAUUGGCGCGAUACAAGAAUGCUACUGAGACUGCGUUUCUUUUGGAAUUAUGCCUCACUUGGUUCAAGAAAUGUCACCUGUUGUUUCAUCCUUUAAUUGUCUCUAUCAAACAGAUUAAAAUGUUCAUACCCGCAACCGAAACUUUCCCGAGUAAGUGGCAUUAAAACUUGUCAAAUUGUACAAAAAAUACCCCCCAAAACAACAGGAAACUGCUCAAAUAUUGUUUCAGACUCCGUGGCACCUACUGAAAGCAUAAAUUUUAUCAGUCUCUGAGGGGGACUCGUUCACCGAUGAAGGAUAUAUUCUCAGUCAAGUAGCUCUGUUUCCUUUCAAUUCUUCGCAUUGAAAUGCUUCUCAAUUGUAUUAAUCAAUAUCAGUGUGUAUUUUAAAUUUAAGUGGUUUUAUUGUUAAUGUUA
rnacentral:lncRNA from 1 species